CCUACGGGGGGCAGCAGUGGGGAAUAUUGCACAAUGGGGGGAACCCUGAUGCAGCGACGCCGCGUGAGUGAAGAAGUAUUUCGGUAUGUAAAGCUCUAUCAGCAGGGAAGAAAAUGACGGUACCUGACUAAGAAGCCCCGGCUAACUACGUGCCAGCAGCCGCGGUAAUACGUAGGGGGCAAGCGUUAUCCGGAUUUACUGGGUGUAAAGGGAGCGCAGACGGCUGUGCAAGUCUGGAGUGAAAGGCGGGGGGCCCAACCCCCGGACUGCUCUGGAAACUGUAAAGCUGGAGUGCAGGAGAGGUAAGCGGAAUUCCUAGUGUAGCGGUGAAAUGCGUAGAUAUUAGGAGGAACACCAGUGGCGAAGGCGGCUUACUGGACUGCAACUGACGUUGAGGCUCGAAAGCGUGGGGAGCAAACAGGAUUAGAUACCCUGGUAGUC
rnacentral:rRNA from 1 species